GGAGAGGUGCCUGAGUGGUCCAAAGGAACGGUUUGCAAAACCGUAAAGCCGUCGGUUCAAAUCCGAUCCUCUCCUCCA
rnacentral:tRNA from 2 species